rnacentral:tRNA from 1 species
GCCUGGAUGGCUCAGUCAGUAGAGCAUGCAACUCUUGAUCUCAGGGUUGUGAGUUCAAGCCCCACCUUGGGUA